ACCUGGGUGGCUCAGUCGGUUGAGCGUCUGACUUCGGCUCAGGUCAUGAUCUCAAGGCUCAUGGGUUCGAGUCCCGCAUCAGUUC
rnacentral:tRNA from 1 species